GUUUUUCGCUUGAGGAUGAGCCCAUACGGGAUUAGCUAGUUGGUGAGGUAAUGGCUCACCAAGGCUACGAUCCCUAACUGGUCUUAGAGGAUGAUCAGUCACACUGGAACUGAGACACGGUCCAGACUCCUACGGGAGGCAGCAGUAGGGAAUAUUGCACAAUGGAGGAAACUCUGAUGCAGCGACGCCGCGUGAGUGAUGAAGGCCUUCGGGUCGUAAAGCUCUGUCGCAGGGGAAUAACACAAUG
rnacentral:rRNA from 1 species